rnacentral:rRNA from 1 species
GACGAACGCUGGCGGCGUGCCUAAUACAUGCAAGUUGAGCGCUGAAGGUUGGUACUUGUACCGACUGGAUGAGCAGCGAACGGGUGAGUAACGCGUGGGGAAUCUGCCUUUGAGCGGGGGACAACAUUUGGAAACGAAUGCUAAUACCGCAUAAAAACUUUAAACACAAGUUUUAAGUUUGAAAGAUGCAAUUGCAUCACUCAAAGAUGAUCCCGCGUUGUAUUAGCUAGUUGGUGAGGUAAAGGCUCACCAAGGCGAUGAUACAUAGCCGACCUGAGAGGGUGAUCGGACACAUUGGGACUGAGACACGGCCCAAACUCCUACGGGAGGCAGCAGUAGGGAAUCUUCGGCAAUGGACGAAAGUCUGACCGAGCAACGCCGCGUGAGUGAAGAAGGGUUUCGGAUCGUAAAACUCUGUUGGUAGAGAAGAACGUUGGUGAGAGUGGAAAGCUCAUCAAGUGACGGUAACUACCCAGAAAGGGACGGCUAACUACGUG